AGGGCGCUACGCUUAUUCGGCCUGGCAUUGAACACAGAUAAAAAGGCGCAGGCGACUGCGCCUUUUUU
rfam:Salmonella enterica subsp. enterica serovar Enteritidis str. LA5, WGS project CAGR02000000 data, contig: Scaffold03-Contig1